CAGGGUGGUGGUCACAGCACCAAGCCUGACAGUUCAAGAAGUGUUUGGACAAAACUUUUAGGGUAUGACUCUUGGGCUGCCCUGUGCAGGGCCAAGAGUUGGAGUCAAUGGUCCUUGCGGGUCCCUCCUAACUUAGGAUAUUUUAUGAUUCCACAAUAAAAAUUUUGGGGGCCUUAAUUUAAAAUGCAGUUGGAUUAUACAGCAGAGUUAAAGAAGUGAAACAAAACCACCAAACUUCAGGAUAGGGGUAAAGAUUUCACAAUAAUGGGGGAAAACAGCUUAGUAUGAAGUGGAGGGUCAAGAAAGAUCUGAUUAAUCACAGCCACAUGUAGAUCUGACUAGCUGCUAGCAUUAAAUAAGCCUGUAAAAUAAUAACUUCCUCGACUUUCCUAAAACAUCUAACUAAACCAGAUUGUUGAGUAAGUACAGAAGCUACUGAGGUGAACUUUUCAAAAAUAUCAACUGGAAAGAAGCUUUGUGUAGGACUUACUGGAACAAAGCAAUACCUGAUAGCUUCAGCUUCCUAAUAUUCCUUGUACUGAGGCAUGGAGAACUUGAGUGGAUAUCUGAGGGCAGAGCAGCUUCAGCAGAAGGGUGUGAGAGCUCCCCUUCUCCAGGGCAGAGCAGCCCAGAGACCACACUGCAGAACUGUGGCAACAUGGACGUGAAGCUCCUGAAAAAGAAGGUGUUGUGACCUUUCUUUGAUACCACAACCACUGUGUGCAGUUACAGGAACAUCACAGCUACUGGAAUGGGGGUCAUGCUACAGAUAAAUUAGAAGUCCUUCUGUUAACAAGAUGAAUACUGUUGUGCACUGCCUGUCCCAAAACUACUGCUAAGGGAUCUGUACAUUUGUAAUUUUCACAGACUACUUGAAAACCAAGGGAUAAGAACCAAAAGCAUAAGAGCUUUUCUCAGUGUAUUCUCCUCCAUCUACAGAACAGGUAGCUGCCAGGUGCUGUUGGAAAUGCUUGCUCAGAGCUCCAGGAUGUGUGACUGGCUGUGAGGGCAUACAUUAAUGGGAGAAGGGUAGACUUCUUGUGGAGAAAGAGCUUCACUCUAUAGGACAGUUCACUCCAGAAGUGGACAAGCAAGUGAACAAACAGCUUCAAACAAACAAUGGUACAUCAUCAUGAUUGCCACUUAAACGUGAGAAAAGCAGUUUUUCUGCAAGUGUUUCAACCGUUAAGCAAUUUCCACCUGCAGAUGUGCCCAGGCACUGUUCAUCAUGACCGGGAGAUUAUAGGUUUUCAAACCAAACACUGGAUUGUUUGCUCUGUUAUAUCUAGAUUGGAGACAGAUCAAAAGCAAGGUGGACUUUGAAUGGGUAUUAAGAUAUAAAAAUUUCAAGUUUUGUUUCACUCUUCAAUGUGUUCUAAAUAUUUCUGAAGAGUUUUCCGACAAGAUUUGCAAUAUCAUAACUUGGGAGGAAGCCUAGUUUCUGUAAAGCUGUCCCUGGCUUUUGCUGGGCUAAAGGCAAACCAAGCUAUAAUGUGCCAAAACUACUCUGCCUUUGAACCCAAAGCUGAUUAUCUUGUAACUGAGGCCAAAAUAAGGGAAAGGGGACUAGAGAGGCUUAAGCAUUGAAAACUUGGUUCAAGUUCUUCUGCUGCUACAGUCUUAAUUUGUAACAAUUAAAUGUGAUUUCUAUUUCUGAUUUUGUUUUUGCAUUUGUAGAAACAAAAAAAAAUUCUUACUGUCUUGACACCAGAUAAAAUCUACCAAGGAUCAUGACAUACCCAAAUGCCAUGUACUGAAGGCCUACAUUUGUACGCUUUCAUCUACUUCACUGCCCCUGAGAAAAACAGUGACUUUAAUUACUGUCAUUUUACUAAUAUUAUUUGGGUUCCAAAAUUAGCUGUUGACUUUGUGCAGCACCAUAUUUAGUUAGAAGUGAUACUUCCCUUCAAUGCAGAGAAAUCAAAAGCACAAGUUCUCCUUUUCAACUCACUUUCCUCUUUAUAAUGUGUCACAGCACAAACAUUGUGUGUGAAAAAGAGAACUAAAUCAGGCCGUGCAUUUUUACUGUUUGGUGCUCCUUAUGUAGCUAUUGCUUAGCAGUUUCCAUAGCUAAGGCUUGUCUUUUCUUUUGGAUCUUGAGAACACUACCAUGACAAUCCCUAAGAGAGAUACAGCUGCUAUGAAACAUCUGUCUUGUCUACAAAAGCUGCAUGUGAGUUAAAGAGAAUCUAUAGAACAGGAAGGGAAGUCGUGCAGUAAAAUGAAGUAGUGAACUGCUGAUGUCUAUAUAUUGUACAGCUUGAAUCAUUAUAAUCAGAAAAUAGGGAAAUUUUUUAAAUAGACUUUCCAGUCUAUGAGAAAUCGCUCAACCAGCAGUACCUCAAAGACCUUCACCCUGGAUAGAAGGAAUCCCAAACAAAAAUUCUGCUAUGGAAACCAAUUUUUGGCCAGAGAGGCCAAAGACAGUAGAUGACUGGAAAACCAGAGCUCAGAUACAGAGCCAACAUUAAAUGUUUUUUCAAGGAAGCACAGUUUCUUGUUCAUAAUACAGUAUUGAAAUCUGCAGGGACUUUGUAGCAAUGUAGCAUUAGAGAACAUGGCACUCAGUGAAUAAACACCAGCUCCAUUCCUGAGCUGUGCAAAGCAGAACUGCAGGAACAUGAUUUGGGUAAGUCUCAGGAUCCUUUGGUUACCAAUGUUGUGCCUUCCAUCAUGCAUACACACUCACACAGGAUUUCCUCAGCAGCUCCACCAAGGCUUGCAGCUCUUAAUGCAAAUCUUUCUCUGUCUAUUAUGAAGCUAACUUCCUGUAGGAAAGUAAAACUGUGAUAUUUUGGAAGAUAUUCUGAACAUAAAAGCUCAGUUUUUUAGAUUUCAGGGAUGGGGGUUUCUCUCUAAAUCUUGUUUUAAAAGCCAUCUGAUCAAACCUUUUCAUUACUUGCUCACUUCAGAAACUAGCUGUGCUUCAAAGUCCUCCAGCAUCCUUCCACACCUACAUUUCUAGUAUCACCUACCAUAUUUCUUCCUAAAUGCUAUGACAAGCCUCAGUAAUGCAGUAUGAAACACUGCAGGUGAGACACACCAAAAUAACACACUGAAAUGCUGCUGGUCACACCUGCAGCUUACUCAGAAGGUCAUUUUUUAAGUGAAGUUAGGAAUUCAAAAGGUUCAGAAUUUCCAGUCUAGUAGAUUCAAAGACAGAUUAUGGCCUCAAAUAUUUGUGGUCAUUCAGAAUCUCAGCAGUCUUUGCACAAGCAUUCUCAGAGAGCUGAUGGACCAAGACUCUCCAAAAGGAGAGAAAGACUGAACAUACAGACUAAUUUGCAUGAGAAGUGAGGGAAUCUUUUAACUAAUAGAAGAUAGAGUACUAAUCAAUAUGAAAGCUAUGUAACUUGUAGCCAAUGAACAUUCAUGCCUUUUUUUGCCACAAUGGUUUUGUGAAAUUGCCACCCAGCCUCCCUUUCUGUGCAGAACUGUAAAUAAAUCAAAUACCUUGACUCUGUGUGGGGAUUGGCCUCUCUCACACUGGAUGAAAAAGAAACAUUUUGGGACAGCAAAGGCAUGGAUGAAAAUACAGGAGGAAAUCCUCAGGAUACAAAUUAAGAUAGCUCAUGUGAGGGCAAAAUACUGACCUAUAUCAUCACACACAUUCAAAUUAAGGCAAAUAAUUCAUAUUUUAAAUGUAGAAAACAAUAGAAAGUGGCCUGGUAUCAUUUAUUCUGGUGUUUCCAAUACACUGAGCAUGUUCUGUCUCCUCCUUUGGCAGUAGGAUAGUGUCCCAGUCAACAUCAAAGCAAAGAAGCUGAUGGUCACCUGAAAAGCUUAGGUAGUUCUCAGCUGUCUCACAGCCUCUUCUUUUCCAGUCUGCUUUUCUCUCAAAGCCCACCUUUAUAGACUGCUCCACUAGAUAAACUAUGAUUUGCACCCUUCUGCUCUUUCCAAGCAGCUAUGAGUAUUGUACAAAAAGUGGACAACCAGUCUUUGCUGCAGUCAUGAACUAGAAUUACAGUAAUAAGCUGAACCCUUGUUCCCCAGACUUUUGUUCUUGAUGUGUCUAGGGAUUGCCUCAUGGAUUUCAGCUUCAGAAGCUGGUAGAGAUCUGCCUGCAGGGCUGCUGAGCUGAAGGAGUUUAUCCCUUGAGGGGCUGUGCUACGCAUUGGAAUAGAGCUAACAAAUAACCAUGUGAAAUUUUGUACAGAUUUAUUAUGCAGUGAUUGUUUUGUUGUCUCCGAUUAAAACAGAGAACUGAAAUACAGAAUCUGUAUUUGUGAAGCCUUUCAUUAUCUUCUGUUCUGAGUGUUGU